GACGAACGCUGGCGGCGUGCUUAACACAUGCAAGUCGAACGGAAAGGCGCUGCUUUUGCGGGGUGCUCGAUUGGCGAACGGGUGAGUAACACGUGAGUAAACUGCCCUUGACUGUGGGAUAACUUCAGGAAACUGGGGCGAAUACCGGAUAGGAGCUCCUGCUGCACGGGGUGGGUUGGAAAGUUUCGGCGGUUGGGGAUGGACUCGCGGCUUAUCAGCUUGUUGGUGGGGUAGUGGCUUACGAAGGCUUUGACGGGUAGCCGGCCUGGGAGGGUGACCGGCCACCUUGGGACUGAGAUACGGCCCAGACUCCUACGUGAGGCAGCAGUGGGGAAUAUUGCACAAUGGGCGGAAGCCUGAUGCAGCAACGCCGCGUGCGGGAUGACGGCCUUCGGGUUGUAAACCGCUUUCGCCUGUGACGAAGCGUGAGUGACGGUAAUGGGUAAAGAAGCACCGGCUAACUACGUG
rnacentral:rRNA from 1 species